rnacentral:ribozyme from 1 species
UGCUCAGCAAUUCCUAUCCCUAUCUCUUCGUUGUACUGGUCGGGGAACAAGAACCUUAGGAAAGAUCGGGUAAUCAACCCCGGUGGAAACUUUGGUCGUAUGCUGACAGGGAAGG